UAUGGAGAGUUUGAUCCUGGCUCAGGAUGAACGCUGGCGGCGUGCCUAAUACAUGCAAGUCGAGCGAACGGACGAGAAGCUUGCUUCUCUGAUGUUAGCGGCGGACGGGUGAGUAACACGUGGAUAACCUACCUAUAAGACUGGGAUAACUUCGGGAAACCGUAGCUAAUACCGGAUAAUAUUUUGAACCGCAUGGUUCAAAAGUGAAAGACGGUCUUGCUGUCACUUAUAGAUGGAUCCGCGCUGCAUUAGCUAGUUGGUAAGGUAACGGCUUACCAAGGCAACGAUGCAUAGCCGACCUGAGAGGGUGAUCGGCCACACUGGAACUGAGACACGGUCCAGACUCCUACGGGAGGCAGCAGUAGGGAAUCUUCCGCAAUGGGCGAAAGCCUGACGGAGCAACGCCGCGUGAGUGAUGAAGGUCUUCGGAUCGUAAAACUCUGUUAUUAGGGAAGAACAUAUGUGUAAGUAACUGUGCACAUCUUGACGGUACCUAAUCAGAAAGCCACGGCUAACUACGUGCCAGCAGCCGCGGUAAUACGUAGGUGGCAAGCGUUAUCCGGAAUUAUUGGGCGUAAAGCGCGCGUAGGCGGUUUUUUAAGUCUGAUGUGAAAGCCCACGGCUCAACCGUGGAGGGUCAUUGGAAACUGGAAAACUUGAGUGCAGAAGAGGAAAGUGGAAUUCCAUGUGUAGCGGUGAAAUGCGCAGAGAUAUGGAGGAACACCAGUGGCGAAGGCGACUUUCUGGUCUGUAACUGACGCUGAUGUGCGAAAGCGUGGGGAUCAAACAGGAUUAGAUACCCUGGUAGUCCACGCCGUAAACGAUGAGUGCUAAGUGUUAGGGGGUUUCCGCCCCUUAGUGCUGCAGCUAACGCAUUAAGCACUCCGCCUGGGGAGUACGACCGCAAGGUUGAAACUCAAAGGAAUUGACGGGGACCCGCACAAGCGGUGGAGCAUGUGGUUUAAUUCGAAGCAACGCGAAGAACCUUACCAAAUCUUGACAUCCUUUGACAACUCUAGAGAUAGAGCCUUCCCCUUCGGGGGACAAAGUGACAGGUGGUGCAUGGUUGUCGUCAGCUCGUGUCGUGAGAUGUUGGGUUAAGUCCCGCAACGAGCGCAACCCUUAAGCUUAGUUGCCAUCAUUAAGUUGGGCACUCUAAGUUGACUGCCGGUGACAAACCGGAGGAAGGUGGGGAUGACGUCAAAUCAUCAUGCCCCUUAUGAUUUGGGCUACACACGUGCUACAAUGGACAAUACAAAGGGCAGCGAAACCGCGAGGUCAAGCAAAUCCCAUAAAGUUGUUCUCAGUUCGGAUUGUAGUCUGCAACUCGACUACAUGAAGCUGGAAUCGCUAGUAAUCGUAGAUCAGCAUGCUACGGUGAAUACGUUCCCGGGUCUUGUACACACCGCCCGUCACACCACGAGAGUUUGUAACACCCGAAGCCGGUGGAGUAACCUUUUAGGAGCUAGCCGUCGAAGGUGGGACAAAUGAUUGGGGUGAAGUCGUAACAAGGUAGCCGUAUCGGAAGGUGCGGCUGGAUCACCUCCUU
rnacentral:rRNA from 1 species